rnacentral:rRNA from 1 species
AUGUGUGUCCCUGAUCUCAGCAUUCUCAGGAGUGCUGUGUUAGGAGACCAAUCUUAUCAUAUGGGAGCCAUUGUAGCUCGCAAGUUGCAUCAGAAUAGACAUAACGGAGAUUUCUUUGGAGGAAUUUAUGCAACCCGCUUAGCUAAUUUUCUUGAGAUAGACAUUCGUGAGGGUGAUAUGGAGUUACCCCCUUCUUAUUUAGAUUUUGACUCUAUGGUUUCCCACCAGUUUGUUGAGAGGACUGAACCACCUCUCCAGUAUCGACUAAUCUUUAACAAACGUCAUGUAGUCCAUAUUGCUCUUCCUGCUCCUACCUUCUUUGAUUUUCAGACAAAAGGAAGAUAUAUUAUUUCUAGAGAGGAGGCAGAUGAGUACGAGAGGAGAGCGGAGGCUGCUCGAUGCCACGCUACAGCUCAGGUGGUGAUAGCCGCUGCAUCACAGUAUGACCCCAGCUUCACCUACGGGUAUCUGCCAGGCUAUCCCCGGCAAUAG